rnacentral:rRNA from 1 species
UAAGGAAUAUUGGACAAUGGAGGCAACUCUGAUCCAGCCAUGCCGCGUGAAGGAAUAAGGCCCUAUGGGUUGUAAACUUCUUUUAGACGGGACAAAACCCCUUUACGUGUAAAGGGUUGAUGGUACUGUCAGAAUAAGCAUCGGCUAACUUCGUGCCAGCAGCCGCGGUAAUACGAAGGAUGCAAGCGUUAUCCGGAAUUAUUGGGUUUAAAGGGUGCGUAGGCGGACUAAUAAGUCAGUGGUGAAAGCCUGCAGCUUAACUGCAGAAUUGCCAUUGAUACUGUUAGUCUUGAGUACAGUUGAGGUAGGCGGAAUGUGUCAUGUAGCGGUGAAAUGCUUAGAUAUGACACAGAACACCGAUUGCGAAGGCAGCUUGCUAAGCUGUAACUGACGCUGAGGCACGAAAGCGUGGAGAGCAAACA